AGUGAGACUGGGCCAAGUGGUGUUGUGGUCCUAAUUUCAUGAAUGUGUUUAAGUGCUCGUUUGAGCGUAAGUUAUGAACCGGGCAUGUGAUAAGUGUGCGAAUCAUUAUCAUGGGACUCGAGGAAACUAGGUAUGUAUGUCGGGUAGGAAUCUUUAAUAAGGAUGGUUUACUCUUGGGACCGGCCGGCUCGAGUUGUGAAUUAUCUUAGAUGGGAUUCUUGUGCCCGGAUACGGAAGAGAUGAGAGCCUAGGUAGGC
rnacentral:lncRNA from 1 species